GCUCACUUGGGAAACACAUACAUUAAAACUCGAACAAUCCAGAGAUUAGCAUGACCCCUGCACAGGGAUGCCACGCAAAUGUGUGAAACAGUGAUAUUUUUA
ensembl:snRNA U6 U6 spliceosomal RNA